CCAUGCAUGGCUUAAUCUUUGAGACAAGCAUAUGACUACUGGCAGGAUCAACCAGGUAGCAUUCUUUCUCGACUUCGGACCCGCAUUGAUGCCACGGGCCUAGACGGCCCGCGGUCAAUGAGGUAGCGAGAGUCAUUCUUAUCGAGGGACUUGAUUGGAGCGACCGGAGGCCAAGACCCCCCACGUCCGCUUAAUAUUCCACAUCCGAGAGCACGAGCAGUUGUCCGGUGGACCGAGACGGCCACGACGGAAGUCGGAGGACACCUACGGGACACGGGCACUGCUCUCGAGGUCCGCAUUGCAGCCGCAAAGCAACAAGGAGGACAGGUGCGGGGCUAUCCGACGAAUUUUUCCGUACGAUGGGAAGGCAACACAGGAACCA
rnacentral:misc_RNA from 1 species